CGCACCAAGCGGGGAGGUAGCGGUUCCCUGUACCCGCAAACCGCUAUAGCGGGGUGUCAUUCCUCUUUUGAGAGAUGGAGCCUGAAGCUAAGAUCUUAUGUGCAGCGUUGAGUCUAUGGUCUUGCGCAAUGAAACGGUGUGAACCUUGUCAGGUCCGGAAGGAAGCAGCAAUAAGCGCUUUGUUUCAUGUGUUGCAAGGGUGCCGUGGAGGAGCCGGCUAUUUGGUCGAGGCUUUUUGGUAAAAUACCG
rnacentral:SRP_RNA from 1 species